UGUACAGGACAAAGAUCAUAAUCAGGUGCAGUUCGCUUUGCCCAGCAUAAGCCCUGGCUAGCCUAGAAGAAAUCAAAAAUUUAAAGCAUCAGGAAAAUGGAACAAUCUUCAUAUGGAUCUGAAAAGCUAAUGAAUCUAGCCAUGGAUAUACUGAAACAACAUUUGAUAAAAUUGGAAAGGGUUGUAUGCAAUGCAGAUUUCCAGAAACUAUCAGCAGGUACCCUAUUUCUUCAGUCAGGCAACAAAGAAAAGCAGCACACUUU